GAUGAACGCUGGCGGCGUGCUUAACACAUGCAAGUCGAGCGAACAGAUCAGGAGCUUGUUCCUUUGACGUUAGCGGCGCACGUGUGUGUCACACGUGUAUCACCUACCUAUAAGUCGGGUAUAACUUCGGAAAGGCGGCUCUAAUACCGGAUAACCUCCUGAUCCGCAUGGUUCAAUAGUGAAUGUCGGCUUUUCUGUCUCUUAUAGAUGGAUCCGCGCCGUAUUAGCUGGUUGGUAAGGUCACGGCUUUCCAAGGCAACGAUGCGUAGCCGACGUGACGGGCGGGUCGGCGACACGGGAGGUGAGACACGGUCAAGACGACUACGGGAGGCCGCAGUAGGCAAUGUGCGGCAGUAGGCGAGAGCCUGACGGAACAGGCCGAAGUGAGUGGUGAAAGUGUUCGGAUCGUAAAGCUCGGUUAUCAGGGAAGAACAAAUGUGGAAGUAGCUGUAGAGAGAGUGACGGUACCUGAUCAGAAAGCAACGGCUAACUACGUG
rnacentral:rRNA from 1 species